rnacentral:rRNA from 1 species
UACGGGGGGGGCAAGCGUUAAUCGGAAUUACUGGGCGUAAAGCGUGCGCAGGCGGUGAUGUAAGACAGAUGUGAAAUCCCCGGGCUCAACCUGGGAACUGCAUUUGUGACUGCAUCGCUGGAGUGCGGCAGAGGGGGAUGGAAUUCCGCGUGUAGCAGUGAAAUGCGUAGAUAUGCGGAGGAACACCGAUGGCGAAGGCAAUCCCCUGGGCCUGCACUGACGCUCAUGCACGAAAGCGUGGGGAGCAAACAGG